AUACGUUCAUAUCACGUUGAAACACCGAUUCUCGUCAGAUCACCGAAGUUAAGCAACGUCGAGUCUAGUGAGUAAUUAAAUAGGCGACCGCUUAGAAUGUGCAGAUGCU